GGGGCCGACCUGGUUUCGACGUGGGUUCGGAGUUGGAAUAGGGCAUGUCGAGCACCAGUUCGCUCGUAAAACCACUGGAAACAAAGUAACUGCGAACGAUACUUCGUACGCCCUCGCCGCUUAACACCGGUGAGCCUCUCAGCGGUUGGCCGAUGGGCCGCGUCUGAAGCCGCAAGGCCCAAGGCAGAGAGGUCAUUCACAUUGGCUGGUUUUCAGGUGCGCCAUUCACCCGAAAACGAGAUUCAAGUGGCUGGCGAACCAGGCAGCGUGCUGCUGCGCGGCCUGGGGCGUGAGACUCAAAUCAGCCAGCUAAACAUGUAGAUCUACCUGGCGAAGGCUUGCGGACGGGGGUUCAAUUCCCCCCGGCUCCACCA
rnacentral:tmRNA from 1 species